rnacentral:rRNA from 1 species
UACGUAGGGUGCGAGCGUUGUCCGGAAUUAUUGGGCGUAAAGAGCUCGUAGGCGGCUUGUCGCGUCGGAUGUGAAAGCCCGGGGCUUAACUCCGGGUCUGCAUUCGAUACGGGCAGGCUAGAGUUCGGUAGGGGAGAGUCGGAAUUCCUGGUGUGAGCGGUGGAAAUGACGCAGAUAUCAGGAAGAACACCCGUGGCGAAGGCGGCUCUCUGGGACGGUACUGACGCUGAGACGCGAAAGCGUGGGGAGCAAACAGG